GCACAAGCGGUGGAGCAUGUGGUUUAAUUCGACGCAACGCGAGGAACCUUACCAGGUCUUGACAUACUCGGAAUCUUUUGGAAGCAAAGGAGUGCCUUCGGGAACCGAGAUACAGGUGGUGCAUGGCUGUCGACGGCUCGUGUCGUGAGAUGUUGGGUUAAGUCCCGCAACGAGCGAAACCCCUAUCAUUAGUUGCCAUCAUUAAGUUGGGGACUCUAAUGAAACUGCCUGCGAAGAGCAGGAGGAAGGUGGGGAUGACGUCAAGUCAUCAUGCCCCUUAUGAUCUGGGCUACACACGUGCUACAAUGGGUAGUACAAAGAGGAGCGAAAUAGCGAUAUGGAGCAAAUCUCAAAAGCUACUCUCAGUUCGGAUUGAAGUCUGCAACUCGACUUCAUGAAGUUGGAAUCACUAGUAAUCGCAAAUCAGCAAUGUUGCGGUGAAUACGUUCCCGGGC
rnacentral:rRNA from 1 species